UCGUCACCACCCUUCGUACUACCUUGAGAUAUUUUCUUCUCUCUCCUCUUCUUCUCUACAAGUGGUGUUCAUUACGAACAGAAAUUUUAUUAUUUUAGUACUGCAUUAUUCUUCAAGCUUUUCUUCAUCAAAAGAGUUGAAUCUGCUCUCUCUCUUGAUUGGUCGAAGUACAGAGCCCAAAAAUAGCAGAAUCGAUAUGUAUGGAGCUGUCAUCUGGCUAACUAAUGUAGUCGUAACCUGUUACAGCGACGAAAUAUAAUGUUACCAGGGUUAAUGUGGACAGAAAGUAGAAAAGUGGGCUUAGAGAGCAAUGGCUACCCAUCAGACGUGGAUAUCUUGAAGAGAGAAUUACCCCAGUUUGAUUCCAUUUGCUGGUGGAUCAUUCUUCUCUAUUUGUGGCUGGCUUAGCUGCAAAUUGACAGGUAUGGGUAAAUCAUAACCAUGACUGAUUCCACGUGUUAUGUGUGGAACCCUGUUUGCUGUGUUUGUACCUCCUGAGCCAUAAACCUGGUCAAAACUUAUUAUUAAGUUCAGCCUGGAAAUUAUUUUGCCUAUGUAGCCAAAUAUGCCAGAAUAGUGCUUUUUUUAUUUGUAAAAAUCGUCAGUCUUUCAAUACCUUUACCUGCAAGCCUGCAUUUUCUUGAGAGACAAGGCUUACCUUCUUAUACAGCUCUAUGUUUUCUUGAUGCAUGAGAUUUCCCUGCUACAAGUUUGAUUAAGACAUUCCUGAAUUUAAACAUGAAUGGAAUACAAAAAUUGGAAUAUCUAACUGUGUUUCCAAUAGGACCUUGUGGUUUAACUCUUCGAUUUCAUCUUUUAAAAUUUGCUCCUGCAAGGGAAGGCAAUUAUUGUGAAUUUUCAUAUACUUAAUAUGUCAGAAGCCACAGAACUACUAAUUAACUAUUAUUUUAGGCAGAACCCUCUUGACCUUUUUCAUUCGGAUGCUUUUCAAACUCAUUUCAAGUUGAUUUUCCAGAUUUUGUAGAUCUAUAAUUCCCAAUCCAGAAAGUUCUUCUCCCAAAAGUUUCCUGCAUAUAUCAUGACAGAGUUAUAUGGUAUGUUCUUGGCCUGUAUGAGCGUUCCUCAACUAUCUAUAUGAAAUUUUCUGAUUUCUGAAGAAUUACUUGGAAGUAUCUCCAUAACUAUUCUCUUAAUUUAUCCAACAUGUGUUUAUCUAUUUAAUUUAAUCACCUUAUAGCCAUGGACACCUAGCUAAUUAGACAAAGUAAAAAUACGGAGUAUUUUGGAGGCGGAGAGAGUGUGUCAGAUCCUAAACCUUCCUAGUGAGAGAUGCCUUUUUAUUCCUUUCACUAUUUCUUUGUCAAUUUUAUUCACUUUAGAGUUGCUAACAUGGUAUUAGAGCGAAAAUAUCUGCUGUUUGUCAAGGUGUUUGGCCAUAUACUGAUGCUUGGGGUCAUUGCAUAAAUGCAAUCGAACUUGUGGCAUGUAUGAUAUGUGAAACAUAUGAAAUUGCGAUGACACUUUAUCCUACACUACUUUGGGCCUGGUACUACCUCUUCCUUUAUUUCUCUCCAUCUAGGUCCUGUUCGUCACUGAGAUAGACAUUAUCGUUUAUAUUUCUACUGUUAUCUCUUCAGUCUUUGCCUUCAUCUAUUUAAUCUUCUACUAUGAUACUGGGUGCUAUUUGUUACUUUAGAAACAAACAUACCUGUAACUUUCUUGCAAGUACUGCAGCUGUCUUCUCAGGCUUUCUGCUUCCUUUUUCCAGAACUAGGAAGACGUUUGGCAAAAUGAUUAGUUUCCUCGUGUAUAAAAUGCAGAAUUACAUGGUUAAAUCGAAGUCAAGAGUUACUGAUAUUUUGGGGUCCAAAACAAGACCAAUAAUGAUAGGAUCUUAUAACAUAGCUUAUCUGGAACUUUUUUUUUGUAGUUAUAAUCAUCUUUAUAUUCAUCAAACUGGUUUAUAUCCAGUUUUUGGUAAACCAAAAUUUCUUCAAAGAAAGAAACUGCAGGCAAGCAGUAUACAGAGGAAGAAGAAAGAAACGGAAGAAGCAGCUAACUACCCAGGAUUUUAUCUACAUAGAAUUAUAGGGUCCCAAAACAUCAAGAAGAAUAACGGGGUAUUAAUCCUCGCCACACGGUUUUCUAAGCCUUCUAAAAUUACUUGCAUAGUUAAGACUAGAUUGAGUUAUUGAUUCCUUAGACUAGCGUGCAGACGAAAAUUUGAAAUCCUAAUGAAUGAAAUGUUGACAAA